GAAAACAAAGGUAAGGAUUAUGUUCGUGUUAAAUGUGUUUUGUGUAAAUUAACAAACUGGGUCACUUUAGAUUAUUUUGAAGUCUCUUGAGUAAUGAGGUCCUGCCAAUUUGGCUAAACCUCUGUUUGCCCCUGUGUUAUAGCUAUUAUAGCGAUUUCAUUUUGACAUCUGAAAAUGACAUUCAUGUGAAUCCAUGGAUGUAGCUUGCUGCUUGAAUAAAAAAAUAAUAAAUGAACAUUUAAAUCGAGCGAGUAGGCGGGGGCGGUCCCGGUCCCAUUUCCGGUAAGCGCCAGGCUGUGUGCGGGCCGCAUUCGCUCGCUUCACCUGCGCAGGAGGAACAACGGCCCGGUGUCUGCGCUGUAGGCUCCACACCAACCCGCCUCCAACCGAUGGUGCGUCUUCGUGUGGUGUUGGCCCCUAUGCACCCAAGAUGACAAAGUUGUACAGGGCACACACUGCUUCAUAUGAGCAAGACAUGAAAACCCUGUUAGGGCAUCUUGAUGAUCAGACCACCGGAAUGCAUGCCCAAAGGAAAUCUGCUGCUCUUAAAGGUCUGCCAUUGGUCAUGUGGGAGGACUCUCAAAAGUUCCUGAGAACAUGUUUGGUGAGUUAUCAAUUGUGCUUCACAGCUAGAAGGUUCUGGGUUUGAUUCCCACCAGGACGGG
rnacentral:lncRNA from 1 species